CAGCAGAGUGUCUGCAUUAGAAACCUCCACAUGAAGGGCGUUCCUCAACACCAUGUGACAAAUUCUAGAGGAAUGAUUUUCUGGAAAUUUCAGCAGUGCAUCUCCACUGUGAUUGCUCUGUCAUUCAGUAAGCAAUAGCCUUGCCAUCUCCAAGAUGUAUCUUCAGUCUUAUAUCUUUGAACUGCAGGCAAAGACUCUUCUAUAGCUCAAUCCUAUGGGGAAUGAUUACUCUUACAUCUGUUACUUCAAUAAUUUUUGGAGGAGGAGGAAAUCUGAGACUGAACGGAAAACCCAGCCAUGUUGCAGAUUGUCUGGCCUUCAAUGGCCAGUAUAUCUCAUUCUUCUUGGGUGUCAUGCAAGAACUCGGGAACUACCACACACAGGUACAAACUAUCACACAGGUUAAUUCAAGAACACAUUCAAAUGGUGCAUGUGUUUGGUAUCAUCAACAGUAGAUGAAGAAUCUGACAUCACUCUCAGUAAUACAGAGACCUGAAUACAUGGUUUAUAGGAAAUAAUCAAGUGAUUCAGAAAACCAUUUUUAAGAAGUAAAGAUUAUUUUAAAUUAUUGUAGGCUUCAGAAAAAAACCACAUUUUCUUGUCAACUGUUUCUUUAUGGUUAUCUUAAGGCUUUUGUCAUCCACAAUUGAUGUUUUGCUUUGAUCUUUCUAAAAAAAAAAAAAAAGUAACUUAUAAUCAGCUACAGUCCAAGGCCUGCUUCUUUGGAAGAGUUCAUGAAAAGUACUCUUGAAUACAGGUUUCUGAUAACUUCGGAGACUGUGCCAUUGGAUUAGAGAGAAAACUUCCAGGGCACUGAUUGAAAGGCUGAUGUAUUCUUGAAGAUUGCUAACCCAAUAUGAAGAAGAGCAGGAGUUGAUUGCAUGGACUAAAUUAAUGGAAGACAGAAAUAGCUUUUUAUGGCCUUUGUUAUUUGAAAUAUUGCUGAUUCUUUUUUUUUUUUUUUUCAAAAUCUGGAGAAUCUUUUCCUUUUGAGCUAUUUGUAGCCUUGGAAUAUACUUUAAGUCUAUUGAGUAUACUUCUGAAAACAUAAUUUAAGUCAUAUAUUUCUCUUUGUCUAAUUUCUUCAGAAUUUGUAAACUAUUUGUGAAAAUUCUUAAUUCAUGGCACUAUGUUUGGUUGCAUACAGUUAAUAACAACAUGUUUUAUUUUGUAAUGAGACACAUUUGAAGGGACUCGUUAUUUUCUCGGGGCUCUGACCAAAAUGGCCUUGUGAGAUGUUUCAGUAAAGCCAAUUUGGGAGUGUCUAUAUGGACAGUGAUUUUUAUCACAUUUUGUAUGGGUAAUAAAGCCACGUAUGUGGGACUAAAGCUAAUAUUU
rnacentral:lncRNA from 13 species